rnacentral:rRNA from 1 species
GUAAAAAAGUUUGACGACUACAAGAGGUGGCUUGUGGCUGAGAUUGGGUUUGAAGGUAUGCUGAAUCUUCCAUUGUUGGGAAAGCUAGAUCUGAAAAUGAGUGCAUGGGUUAUGAGGAAGGCGAAGGUGAAGACGCGCACAAUAGUUAUUGACAAGGAUCGGGUGAUUAUGUUUACUCCAGAGGAUUUUCACAAAAAUUUUGGAGUUCCUUGUGGCAACCGGGCUGUCCGUGGAAGGGAUGGUGAAAUCAAGACAGCAGCAGUUGAGUUUAUGAAGCAGAUAAUUGGGAUGAAUGCAUCACCUGCUCACAAUCUGAAGGCUGCGGAAGAUUUUUUGUGUAGAGAGAUAUCAGAGGAGUCGAGCAAGAUUGAGAAGGAUUGUUUCCAGAUUUCGUUUGUUAUAUUUGUAAUGGGUUAUGUCCUGUCA